GAUGAACGCUGGCGGCGUGCUUAACACAUGCAAGUCGAACGAAGCAUUUAGAACAGAUUACUUCGGUUUGAAGUUCUUUAUGACUGAGUGGCGGACGGGUGAGUAACGCGUGGGUAACCUGCCUUGUACUGGGGGAUAGCAGCUGGAAACGGCUGGUAAUACCGCAUAAGCGCACAAUGUUUCAUGACAUGGUGUGAAAAACUCCGGUGGUAUAAGAUGGACCCGCGUCUGAUUAGCUAGUUGGUGAGAUAACAGCCCACCAAGGCGACGAUCAGUAGCCGACCUGAGAGGGUGACCGGCCACAUUGGGACUGAGACACGGCCCAGACUCCUACGGGAGGCAGCAGUGGGGAAUAUUGCACAAUGGAGGAAACUCUGAUGCAGCGACGCCGCGUGAGUGAAGAAGUAAUUCGUUAUGUAAAGCUCUAUAAGCAGGGAAGAUAGUGACGGUACCUGACUAAGAAGCACCGGCUAAAUACGUG
rnacentral:rRNA from 1 species